CGUACGAAAUGGCAAAAUCAUUGAAAGAUGAUGACGCAAAACUAUAGGGGCUAAGGUUUCAAGAAACUAAGCCAGCCAGUUUCCGAA
rnacentral:ncRNA from 2 species